GCGCCCAUCGUCUAAAGGAUAGGACAGAGAUCUUCUAAAUCUCUAGCAUAGGUUCGAAUCCUAUUGGGCGUA
rnacentral:tRNA from 1 species